rnacentral:rRNA from 1 species
CAAGUCGAGGGGAAACGACAUCGAAAGCUUGCUUUUGAUGGGCGUCGACCGGCGCACGGGUGAGUAACGCGUAUCCAACCUGCCCACCACUUGGGGAUAACCUUGCGGAAGUAAGACUAAUACCCAAUGAUAUCUCUAGAAGACAUCUGAAGGAGAUUAAAGAUUUAUCGGUGAUGGAUGGGGAUGCGUCUGAUUAGCUUGUUGGCGGGGUAACGGCCCACCAAGGCGACGAUCAGUAGGGGUUCUGAGAGGAAGGUCCCCCACAUUGGAACUGAGACACGGUCCAAACUCCUACGGGAGGCAGCAGUGAGGAAUAUUGGUCAAUGGACGAGAGUCUGAACCAGCCAAGUAGCGUGCAGGAUGACGGCCCUAUGGGUUGUAAACUGCUUUUAUAAGGGAAUAAAGUGAGUCUCGUGAGACUUUUUGCAUGUACCUUAUGAAUAAGGACCGGCUAAUUCCGUGCCAGCAGCCGCGGUAAUACGGAAGGUCCGGGCGUUAUCCGGAUUUAUUGGGUUUAAAGGGAGUGUAGGCCGGAGAUUAAGCGUGUUGUGAAAUGUAGACGCUCAACGUCUGCACUGCAGCGCGAACUGGUUUCCUUGAGUACGCACAAAGUGGGCGGAAUUCGUGGUGUAGCGGUGAAAUGCUUAGAUAUCACGAAGAACUCCGAUUGCGAAGGCAGCUCACUGGAGCGCAACUGACGCUGAAGCUCGAAAGUGCGGGUAUCGAACAGGAUUAGAUACCCUGGUAGUCCGCACGGUAAACGAUGGAUGCCCGCUGUUGGUCUGAAUAGGUCAGCGGCCAAGCGAAAGCAUUAAGCAUCCCACCUGGGGAGUACGCCGGCAACGGUGCAACUCAAAUGAAUUGACGGA